GCGGAGGCUGGGGGCUGGCGGACGCAUCGAGCUAUGCCUGGUCCCGAUUGUGAACUUGGCAGCGGCUGCUUGGCGUGGAUAACCCCAGUGGCCACUAACCAGGAACACCUGCUGGCCCCGUUACCCGGAACGGGAGGAGAAGAUGGGCAUCUCCAGCGGAAUUCCACCGUGGAAUAUGGAAGUGUUUAAAGGAAGACCUUCCCCUGCUCAGGGUAGCAGAGAUCUGAACCUUUAAAUUGCAGCCAUCCCCGGCCUGACGAUAAGUGAUUCACAGGCCUAAAUGAGCUGUUUGAUGCUGGAGCUGGAAUUUAUUUGAAUCCUGGACUAUGAUGCCAUGGAGGGAUGGAUCUCUGGAUCUGGAUCACACUCUGAUCACUCCAUUGUUAAUUUUUAUGUGGGCAAAAUGAAUUCUUGGGCUCUCUGGUGAAGGGAGAAAAGUAGGGAGCAACUCACAGCAGGACCUCAGCUUCCUUCUCAUUGAAUCAUGAGCUUUUCUUGAAGCCAUGGCAGGAGCUGUGCUGGAAAUGGUGCCGUGGGAGUCUGUAUCCCAGGUCAGGAGACCAGACAUCAAAUCCCUGGUGCAUCUUGGCAGCUGGGAACGCUCCGGCAAACCAGGAAUGCUCCAGCAAACCAGGAAUGCUCCAGCAAACCCUGCCAAAGCCGCUGCAGGGAGCACAUCACCAGCACUGCAAACGACAACCCACCCCUGGCUGAAGCCAAAGCUCCACAGUCCAUGUGAAAUCCCACCUGCAGUUCUGCAACUGCCUGUGAAGAAAUGGAUAGUCAUGCAAACACAACAAAAUCAGCCUGGAUCCACGGGAAUGACUUCACAUGGCAUCGUGGGGAGGCAGCAGGAAUUUUGCAAGGAAUUAAUACACCAGGAAACCCAGAUGUGUGCAGCUAAGCCAAAAAGCAGAGGGAGAGCCAUCCUGCUUUUAUUUCCAGCAGACAGAGGAAAAGCAGCGUUGCCCACCCAGAGUUAAAGAACAGGAGCAGAUAAUUAUCAGCACAGAACAAUUGGGGGUGUCAUCAUCUGCUAAACCACUUUACCUGGCUGAUUAUGAACUCAUUCAGAUAACCUCCACUCUUUUUUUUGUUAUCAAAUAUUGUAAAUAUAUGUUAUGAGUGUUGAUUUAUUUGUCUGGAAGCUGGGAAGAAAAAUAUGGAGGGAAUAGUCUUGCAUUCCACAGUUACAGAAAUAAAUCAGCAUGGAUUUCACUCCAAGUACAUGUUCUUGAAUAAGUUAUAAGAGCACCUGUCCAUUCAUUAAGGAGUUUUCCUUCAAAUUAAUUAUUAAGACUGGAAAAUAGACAGUGAAAGUACCUUAAAUCAUGAGCAAGUGCAGUACCACCCUUGGUUCCCAAAAUAGAAAGGGCAUCUCCAUCAGGAAAAUGCAAGUCAGCUUUAGAAAGAUUUUACACUCAGAGCAUUUUUAUUUUGAGUGCCAUGGGCACAGCUUUGGCAAUAUUAUUUCACUCAGAAUAUUCCCAAAACUGAACUGAUUUCACAUGAACCAUGGAGAACUUUCAUAUUUGUGCAGAAUUUCUUUGGCAGCCUUUUGUUUCAGCGGUGAAAAGUGAUCCAGUCCCAUAGACAGCAUUUUGAUUUCUUCAUUAUGGAAAGAAAAGAAGCAAAAAGGAGUGUUUCCAGCCUUUAAACAGAACCUAACUUUGGUGUAUUUCAGUUAUUCUUUCCCAGCCUGUAAUUCCCCUUCUUUUCCAGUGAUAAGAUGUAAGCAGUAAAUCUCCAAGGAACAGGGAUCACCUAAAAAUAUUUUUGGAAAAAAAACAUGGAAAAAUCAGAAUUUUAAAUAAUUUCUUCCCUUUUUCCAUUGGAAAGAAAAUUCUGAACACUUUCAAAAUAACAAUUCAACAUUUUUGCUAACAAUUUCUAUUCUUUUUUUUUUUUGUGUGUGUACCUGAGUAUUGAUUCCCAGUAAUGAGACUCCCACUGAUUUCACUGAGUUUUGGAUUAAAUUCCUGGGCAAGAUUUGAGCCAGUGAUGUAAUGAUACAAAACUGGAGAGCCCAUUCCUUUUCCCUGAUGCAGCCAGCACAUUACACUGGAGAAAUGCAACAUUUUUCCCAUCUGAAUAAUUUCUACAGAAUUUCAAAGAGCCCAAUUUUUCUCUCUUUGUCACUGAUUGCAUCAGUCUGUUUUACAGUAUCUUCAAAAAUUUUAGUCUGCAAGCUAAAAAAAGGGUUGGACAACAGCAGACUCACUUUUUUUCCUAUUUUUUAAAAAAUUAUUUGGGAUAUUUCUGAUAUUUGUUUUUGGGGGAGAUGUUGAAAUCGGGAUUCUGGAGCAUUUCUCCACUUCUUUGCAGUUCGUUAAACUCCGGGGUUUUUUUUUGCCUGAGGGCAUCCCCAUACCUCAGAAUCAUCUAAAAAACUAAGGACACCCUUUUUAGCUCCUCCAGUUGGGGCAAGGCACAUCGGGAUUGAGGGGAAAAAAGAGGGAAAAAAGGCAAACCCACUGUUUUUGGAGUUGGAAAUUGCUACCGGAGGUGUCCUGCUCCCCUUGGAUGUUCUGGAGAACAUCAGCCAGGCUGAGCUGAGCCCUGGGCUCCAAUCCCUCUCUGCUCCCCCCAGGUCUCUGCUCCGCUUAAUCCUGUCAGAAAAGUCUCCAGCAAACAUUUGUAAUUGCAGGGAGAAAGAACACUGCUGUCUUUCUUUUUUUCCCUGACUUGACAUCUAUCAAAUUUAGUUUAAGUGUUCCCCUGGGUCAGGCGAGUUGCUGAGCUAUAAACUAAAAAUAAUUAAAAUAAAAUAUUAAAAAAAACCUCAAGCCUGCUUGCCAGGAGGGUAUCGUUGGGAGCUAGCAGCUCUCAGUCAUGGAUUUCAGAGGGCUGGAGCAGCUGAAACAAGGCAGGUAGGCUUCAUGCAGCAAAAAACCUGAAAUUCUUUGAUAUUUUAAUGCUACAGGCUUGAUCCUUGCACUUCAGGACAAGUUUCUGUAACAGGCAUUCAGAAUUGAAAUUAAUUUUUUAUGCAAUACUGCAGCUAAUGUAAAUUUUACAUCCAAAAGGAAAGGCAGAGAAAGGUGGAAGGAAUAGUCCUGCUUAACAUCCCAGAUAAUUAAAACCUCGCUCUGACAAUCCCUUCAAGUCCCCUUCCCAUACUAUAAAAGAUGACUCUGCCAAUUUAUUGACCCCAGCUGAUGGAUCAGCCAUCCCCAAAAUUGGAAAUUCUGGUCACAAUGACUUCAAGUUUGGCUGCAACCCGCCCAGACAGACAGCAUGUUCCCAGACUGGUCACAUUCAUAAAUGUCAUAAAAAACAUACUUGUUCUCUGACAUGCACAAAAUAAAAUCCUCCAACAAGACAUCUCUAACCAGAAAGGCAUGAAGGAAAAAUCUGUGAGCACGUGACAGGGAAUGAAGGCUGCUCCGAGUGGUAUUUUGACAUUGGUGGAAGUAAAACCGAAAUAAAA